GUGCAGUAUAAAAGGAGAGACGUUUGGCAGCCCCCUGCACAAGGUCGGAUCCGUACUCUCCUAAACGAGGCGUAAAGUCCACAGAGUGGCGAGGUUUUUUUCCAAAAAAUUUCU
rfam:Hymenolepis microstoma genomic scaffold, pathogens_HYM_scaffold_0002